AAACUUUUUGGGUUGCUUUGAGAAGUUUGACUAUGAUAUAUGGAUGGCCUGCAGUUUCAUUCCAUUGUGGUGAUUUCCCUGAAUAGUGAAUUUCAUAAUGGAAAAGAUUUUUCUUUGGGUAUUUCCAAAUCAUGGUUUUACAUGUUUGGUUGCUGAAGCAGUUAGGUGUAGGAUCUUUAAUGGAGUGGAUAUAUCUCAUUAGAAAGUACUAUUCUUUAAAUUUUUUUAUCAGGACUACUGUCUGUCAGCACUGUUCUGGGACGUGUGGCAAAAUCAACUGUAGCUGUAAAUCCUGCAUGUACUCUGUGUUUCGAGACUCCAGUGUGAGUGUCUAAUUAGAUUCAUAAGAUCAGAACUUUCCUAAUUCAUCAUGUUCUACUGAAAUUUUAGGCUUAUCUUCCCUCCCACGAUCAAACUAAAGGAAUAACUUUCAGAAAUUGCAUAUCUUUUCAAUUCUUGGCUAUCAUAUUCCAAUGAUUUAUAGUUUCGUCUUCCUUUCCACUGUCAACAGCCGUCAUUAUGAUAAAGUCAUCAAGGCAAUCAAAGUGAAGGUUCUGGGUUCAGACAAGGAGUUCUUUCUACACCCUGCAACUGUGAGAAGGAACGUCUGUGAUGAAGUCACCAAGGCAAUCAAAGUUCGGGUGGUUGGACAGGAGUGAAAACUGCAGUAUUCUGAUGUACUGGAAGACAUCGAACCUGAAGAAAUUCAAACAAUGGGAAACUAUGCCAUGUGACGGAUUUAAUCAGGCAAAUCAGGUGGACACGUAAGAUGAAGAUGAUGAUAAGAGGAUGACAGCAACAACUAUGCUGAAGAUGUAGAAGAAGGAUAUUAUGAUGAGGAAGGGGAUGAAAGUGAAGAAGUUGAUGAAGAUGGAGAAGAUGACGACGAACGUUUUGAUGAAAAGUGAACAAAACAAGGUUGAGUUUGUGGUUUGAAUCUGAUAUACUAUUUUUCAUAGAUUAUAUUGCUUGCAGGAACUUUCUGUUAAUUUAUGUACAUGUCUGGCUCAGUUGGAGAAUCAAGUGCUCGUUAACUUCAGAAAGAACUACUUUGUAACAUUCUGUUACAUAAGUGUUUGAUGAUCGAACUAGUACAGAUUGUGCAAUUUCAGUAA